rnacentral:rRNA from 1 species
AGUGAACGCUGGCGGUAGGCCUAACACAUGCAAGUCGAACGGCAGCACAGUAAGAGCUUGCUCUUACGGGUGGCGAGUGGCGGACGGGUGAGGAAUACAUCGGAAUCUACUUUUUCGUGGGGGAUAACGUAGGGAAACUUACGCUAAUACCGCAUACGACCUACGGGUGAAAGCAGGGGAUCUUCGGACCUUGCGCAAUUGAAUGAGCCGAUGUCGGAUUAGCUAGUUGGCGGGGUAAAGGCCCACCAAGGCGACGAUCCGUAGCUGGUCUGAGUGGAUGAUCGGCCACACGAGAGCUGAGACACGGUCCAGGCUCCUGCGGGAGGCAGCAGUGGGGAAUAUUGGACAAUGGGCGCAAGCCUGAUCCAGCCAUACCGCGUGGGUGAAGAAGGCCUUCGGGUUGUAAAGCCCUUUUGUUGGGAAAGAAAAGCAGCAGGUUAAUACCCCGCUGUUCUGACGGUACCCAAAGAAUAAGCACCGGCUAACUUCGUG